AGGACGAACGCUGGCGGCGUGCUUAACACAUGCAAGUCGAGCGGUAAGGCUCCUUCGGGAGUACACGAGCGGCGAACGGGUGAGUAACACGUGAGCAAUCUGCCCUUCACUUUGGGAUAACUUCCGGAAACGGAAGCUAAUACCGAAUACGACCAUCACAGACAUCUGUUGAUGGUGGAAAGUUCCGGCGGUGAAGGAUGAGCUCGCGGCCUAUCAGCUUGUUGGUGGGGUAACGGCCCACCAAGGCGACGACGGGUAGCCGGCCUGAGAGGGUGACCGGCCACACUGGGACUGAGACACGGCCCAGACUCCUACGGGAGGCAGCAGUGGGGGAAUAUUGGACAAUGGGCGAAAGCCUGAUCCAGCAACGCCGCGUGAGGGAUGACGGCCUUCGGGUUGUAACCUCUUUCAGCAGGGACGAAGCGAGAGUGACGGUACCUGCAGAAGAAGCACCGGCCAACUACGCGCCAGCAGCCGCGGU
rnacentral:rRNA from 1 species